AUGGCAGGAGGCAAAGCCAAAGGCGACGUGGCUACAAAGCCGUCUCCCGCCUGCACCCACAGCUUCCGAUUCCGCGUGGUCUGUACUGCUCCGCCCUGGGCAGGAGGAGAAGGAAGAGGGCCAGGCACCACUUUGAGCCCGCACUUCCCCUGGAUGCUGGAGGCUGCUCUGCCGUGGGUAGGAGGAGAAGGAAGAGGACUGGGCGCCGCCUGCCUGCACUCUCCCUGGAUGCUGGAGACUGGAGGCAGUGAGGCAGCGAGGCAGCAAUAGUGCGAGGCGACUUUGGAGCGGCCUCACAAAGCGACCUCGCCUUCCGCUGCGCCUGGAGGACACGGGCUGGGAGCCCAGCAGAGCCGUCUGACCCUCCCCGAGCCCCAUCCCAGAUCCAGCCAGGACCCCUUUUUGCCUGCACUCUCCCUGAAUGCUGGAGACCGGAGGCAGUGAGGCAGCAACAGCGCGAGGUGACUUUGAAGCAGCCUCAUACAGCGACCUCGCCUUCUGCUGUGCCUCCUCCCAGAGCCCAAGAAGCCCGGAACCUGUGGCGUCCGGCUCUGAAAGGAGGAGAGGGCAAACCAGCCGAGGGUGAGUCCGGUAGUCUGGGAUGCCUUUGGCGGAGGAAGGACAGGCAGGAGUCUCGGCCUCCCGGGGAGAAUUUCACAAAAUUCUCUGAUUAUCUUGUUAUAAUACUGUUGUUGUUAUAAGGCUGUUGUUUUGAUUCUGAUACUGGUCAUUUGUGUUCUUUAAUCUUUUUUCCUUAAUCAGUUUUGCUAGUGGUGUAUUAACUAUAUUAUUUAUAAAAAACAACUUUUAGCCUUGGUUUAUUUCUGUUGUUUUUUUUUCCCAUUUCAUUGACGUUUGUUAUUUUUAUUAUUAUCUUCAUUCUGUAUUAUUUGCACUUGAUUUUUCUUUCUUGAUUCUUGAGAACGAAGUUGAAGUGCCGGGUGUG